UACGGAGGAUGCAAGCGUUAUCCGGAUUCAUUGGGUUUAAGGGUGCGUAGGCGGACCUGUAAGUCAGUGGUGAAAUCUCUUUGCUUAACAAAGAAACUGCCAUUGAUACUGCAAGUCUAGAGUAUAGAUGACGUUGGCGGAAUAUGACAUGUAGUGGUGAAAUACUUAGAUAUGUCAUAGAACACCGAUUGCGAAGGCAGCUAACGAAACUAUAACUGACGCUGAGGCACGAAAGUGCGGGGAUCAAACAGGAUUAGAAACCCGAGUAGU
rnacentral:rRNA from 1 species